UGACCUACUAAAUAGCUCUACUUGCGAUUGCAGGUAGCUAGCUUCUUAGAGGGACUAUCUAUUACAAGUAGAUGGAAGUUCGAGGCAAUAACAGGUCUGUGAUGCCCUUAGACGUUCUGGGCCGCACGCGCGCUACACUGACGGAGCCAGCGAGUCGACCAAGCCCGAGAGGGCUAGGUAAUCUUGUGAAACUCCGUCGUGCUGGGGAUAGAGCAUUGCAAUUAUUGCUCUUCAACGAGGAAUUCCUAGUAAGCGCAAGUCAUCAGCUUGCGUUGAUUACGUCCCUGCCCUUUGUACACACCGCCCGUCGCU
rnacentral:rRNA from 1 species